GCACAGAAUCGUGACGUUAGGAUUACGUCAUUCCUGUUUGAACAUGGAACGAACGGAACAAACAACGGCGAAGUACCCCAUGCCUCCUAGCGAUCCCAUUAGAAACGACGCUCCGAAGAAUGACGGCGGCUUUUUCUUCACCAUCUGGAAGGCGUUCGGGAGAACGGCAGACAGGAGCGUGGUGUGCACAUCGCCCAGGACCUUGCGAAAGGCGUAGCGUUUCUGCACGUGCUCAAAAAACGACCGCAGGUUGGGUCUGCUCCCGUCCUCCCAGUACUUCUUCGAAAGUCCUAAAAAUUUGAGGCGGUGCAAAGUCGCUCCCAGACAAAUGUCGGCCAGAGAGAAAUCGGGUCCGCAAAGCCAGAGCUCACGCUUCUGUCCUGGAGCACAGAAAAAAAUUGAUGACAUUUCUUUUAAAAUAUCGCACCCCUAAUCUGUUAAAAUCACACUCCCACACAUGAUAAAUGCUUGGAAUGAGGGAUUAAUGAGAUUAAAUGGAUUUUGUACACCUGUAGACACGACCAGAAACCAACCUUGAUAUUCAAGUUUCCGCUUCUCUAGUUCAGCUUCCACUUGAUCCAACACCAUAUGCAAUUCACCAAGAAUAUUAUUCAGGUAGUUAACGUCAUCGUGGUCCAGAAUCUUAGCCUGAAAUAAUGAUUUAAAAAAGAUACAAACAUCCUGUAAAGGAGGAACAUUUACAUGACAAACUCCAACGUCAAUUUCACAAUCCAUUCCUGGCGUCUAAAAUUGAAACCACAAAAGCCUUCAAUUUGUGUUAAGCUAGUAUUUUGUAUACAGUAGAAAUAUUAGAAUAUUGGGAGCUGGGAAUGCAACAUUUGCUAAAUAUCCUUGAUCCCAGAGAAACAGCCUCUAGGCUGUAAAACGAAAUACUUUUUGCCAUGUAAUGAAAUGUAGUGGUCAUUGUCUCACUGUCAUAGUACCCAUUUUUGUGUAUGGCAUUAUAGCAUGUAUAGCACAUGAAUGCAGUGGUGGCACCCUGGACAUUGUAAAAUGUGAAAUUCUAAGAAAAUAGUUGGGGGGCUUUGCAGAUUUGUGACAAUGCUAUAGCCACGGAUCCUUGCCUCUGUGGCAGUAUCUCUGUUUUGUACAGUACCACAGCAGGGAAACAGGUCAUGUCUCACCAUGAGCUUCUUAUGUUUGGACAGAUAGGGCUCCAGCUCUGCCAGCUGGGACUCUUCCUGGUCCAGCUUCAAUAGCUCAGAUGCAGCAUGGGCCAGGUGUCCUGCAGGGGGAGGGACCACUUCACUGAAAGAUUCAGCCUAACCCAACCCUACCAAACCUAACCAUAACCUAACGUAACGAAACCUAACCUAACCCUAACAGUACCUAACCCAACCUUGUCUAAGCUAACCUAACCUUCUUCCGUUAGCAAUAAACUCGUCAUCUGAAUUUCCAUUCCUAAAUACAACAUGUGGCGACUUUUUCACAAGCACCUUUCCAUGUCUCCACUUCAGGUUUUUUUGCAGAUGCAGCUCCUUUGUAAGUCGUGUGAUUACUGUAGGCCAUUAUCCUGAGCAGGACACUACUGUCUGACUGAUGGCAAGUUGAAAUCAAUGCGGUGGCGUACUUUGGGAUCAUGGAGUCGGCGGUGAGCUCGGGGUGCAGGAUGCAGCCGUGGGUGUAGGCGUCCAUGGGCAGCCCGUCC